rnacentral:lncRNA from 10 species
UGCUUGCAGUUGUGAGAGUUUCAGCCUGGAGAGGACCACCCUGCUGGAAGGGUGUCCUGGGAAUGAAGUCCACGUAGGUGAGAACACACACCAGGGAUAUGUAGCUGGAUGGACUCAGCAGCCCUUGGGGAAUAAAGCCAGGACUGUGCCCCAAGGAAGCCACACAAACUGUGUAGCCAGACAGUCUGUCUGGGAGGAGAAGGAAGGAAUUUAUCUACCAGCUCCCAUCUCUCAUGGACCAAAUUCUUCCCCACUGUACAUAACUCCAUAUCACUUUCAGAUUGCAUAAGGGUGAGAGCUGAAUGUAGGCUCCAACAGGAAGACGGCAUUGAAGCCUGGUUGCUUGUUACUACUCAGAAUGCCAUCUACAAAAGGAAAUUAUGUAAAAAGCAAUAAAGAACCCCUUUUGUUCUUGCAGGA